UACGUAGGGUGCGAGCGUUAAUCGGAAUACUGGGCGUAAAGCGUGCGCAGGCGGUUCGUUGUGUCGGCGGUGAAAGCCCCGGGCUUAACCUGGGAAUGGCCGUCGAAACUGGCGAACUGGAGUGUGGCAGAGGGGGGUGGAAUUCCGCGUGUAGCAGUGAAAUGCGUAGAGAUGCGGAGGAACACCGAUGGCGAAGGCAGCCCCCUGGGCUGACACUGACGCUCAGGCACGAAAGCGUGGGGAGCAAACAGG
rnacentral:rRNA from 1 species